rnacentral:rRNA from 1 species
GUGAGGAAUAUUGGUCAAUGGGCGAGAGCCUGAACCAGCCAAGUCGCGUGAAGGAUGAAGGUUUUAUGAAUUGUAAACUUCUUUUGCAGGGGAAUAAAGUACGGUACGUGUACCGUUUUGUAUGUACUCUGCGAAUAAGGAUCGGCUAACUCCGUGCCAGCAGCCGCGGUAAUACGGAGGAUCCAAGCGUUAUCCGGAUUUACUGGGUUUAAAGGGUGAGCAGGCGGGUUGAUAAGUCAGCGGUGAAAGUUUGCAGCUUAACUGUAAAAUUGCCGUUGAAACUGUCGAUCUUGAGUGCAAAUGAGGUAAGCUGAAUGUGUUGUGUAGCGGUGACAUGCUUAGAUAUAACACAGAACACCGAUUGCGAAGGCAGCUUACUGGGAUGCAACUGACGCUCAUGCACGAAAGCGUGGGGAUCAAACAGGAUUAGAAACCCGAGUAGUCC